rnacentral:rRNA from 1 species
CGCAGCGAAAUGCGAUAAGUAAUGUGAAUUGCAGAAUUCAGUGAAUCAUCGAAUCUUUGAACGCACAUUGCGCCCCUUGGUAUUCCGAGGGGCAUGCCUGUUCGAGCGUCAUUACAACCCUCAAGCUCUGCUUGGUAUUGAGCGUCUCGCCUGAGCAAUCAGGCGCG